UAUGCAACAGUAGCCUCUCAAAUAGCUUUAGUCUCAGUAUGUGAGUCUCCAUGGCAAGGCGUAGGGCCUAUGUCUUAAGCAAUAAUUUUGGUCAGAUAAUUGCAAUGUUCCCUUUCUUCCAGACUGGUCACAUACAGGUAUUGCAUAAAACUUCAGCCAGAGGCAUCAUCCAUUCCAAGGAGGAUCCUUUGAACAGAGUCUGCUCCUGCUAGUAGGCUUUACAUGAGCUCCUAUGAACCUGAUGGCUGGAAGACCAGCUGGCUCCAUCUGGUGUAGAUGGUCCCAGAGCCAGAGAGAAGCUGUGGUGCAGUGCUAACUGCAUUGCAAGCCCUGUGAUGAUGGACAGUGAGCCAGGAGCUAGUGCCAACUGAUGCCUAGUAGCUGACCUUGUGGCUUGCUGAACAUUCCUGGAUUUAUCUGGAGAAGAAUCAUGAUCAGAUUCCCAGUGGUGAAGAGUAUGCCUUCAUUCAACAAUUUAGCUUCCCAAGAAAAAUACACCUGCAGCUAUGAGGAGCCUUGCUCGAGCAUGCAAGCCUUCUGUUUCAUGAACAACAUUAGAGGGCACUUCUGCAUUGUGGUCGGCUUAAGCCAAAGAAAGGCAGAAGCCUGACCUUACCAGCUGAAUUGUUCUUGAAUUCAGAGGCAACGUGAAAUCUGUUUCAGCUUCACCCAGAUUAAGAACUUAUUCUGUAGACAACCUCUUUGAUCUCAUUAAAGCUGCUGCUGGACCUGCUGUGAGGGAAGCUGGGGACUCAUUCUUUAUGAGGAGGUGAGUGGCCAGGGCAGUGAGGCUGAGAUGUGGGCUCCCCUCCUGCCCCACAUUCCCAUGUUCCUGCAUCCAAGAAACCCUGUCCCUGUGAGCUCCCACAUGGUUCUAGGGGUGCUGAAUCAGAGGCAGCUGUGAGAGCUGUAUUGCAGGAUGCAACAGGCAUUACAGUUUUGACAGCUUUACUUUUUUUUUUUUUUUUUUAAUUUAUUUUUUUAGUCUUUCUGCAUGUGAUGCUCUUGUAUCUUCUGUUGACAAAGGCACGUGAUUAGUUUAUAAUCUCUGUUUUCACUGAAAGAAAAACAAACAGCUUUCUAACCUGUGUAAUUGUAGACAAAAGCUUGAAAAGGAGAUUC